GCCUAACACAUGCAAGUCGAGCGGAUGAGUGGAGCUUGCUCCAUGAUUCAGCGGCGGACGGGUGAGUAAUGCCUAGGAAUCUGCCUGGUAGUGGGGGACAACGUUUCGAAAGGAACGCUAAUACCGCAUACGUCCUACGGGAGAAAGUGGGGGAUCUUCGGACCUCACGCUAUCAGAUGAGCCUAGGUCGGAUUAGCUAGUUGGCGAGGUAAAGGCUCACCAAGGCGACGAUCCGUAACUGGUCUGAGAGGAUGAUCAGUCACACUGGAACUGAGACACGGUCCAGACUCCUACGGGAGGCAGCAGUGGGGAAUAUUGGACAAUGGGCGAAAGCCUGAUCCAGCCAUGCCGCGUGUGUGAAGAAGGUCUUCGGAUUGUAAAGCACUUUAAGUUGGGAGGAAGGGCAGUAAGUUAAUACCUUGCUGUUUUGACGUUACCGACAGAAUAAGCACCGGCUAACUUCGUGCCAGCAGCCGCGGUAAUACGAAGGGUGCAAGCGUUAAUCGGAAUUACUGGGCGUAAAGCGCGCGUAGGUGGUUCGUUAAGUUGGAUGUGAAAGCCCCGGGCUCAACCUGGGAACUGCAUCCAAAACUGGCGAGCUAGAGUAUGGCAGAGGGUGUGGAAUUUC
rnacentral:rRNA from 1 species